AGCGUACACGGUGGAUGCCCUGGCAGUCAGAGGCGAUGAAGGACGUGCUAAUCUGCGAUAAGCGUCGGUAAGGUGAUAUGAACCGUUAUAACCGGCGAUUUCCGAAUGGGGAAACCCAGUGUGAUUCGUCACACUAUCAUUAACUGAAUCCAUAGGUUAAUGAGGCGAACCGGGGGAACUGAAACAUCUAAGUACCCCGAGGAAAAGAAAUCAACCGAGAUUCCCCCAGUAGCGGCGAGCGAACGGGGAGCAGCCCAGAGCCUGAAUCAGUGUGUGUGUUAGUGGAAGCGUCUGGAAAGGCGCGCGAUACAGGGUGACAGCCCCGUACACAAAAAUGCACAUACUGUGAGCUCGAUGAGUAGGGCGGGACACGUGGUAUCCUGUCUGAAUAUGGGGGGACCAUCCUCCAAGGCUAAAUACUCCUGACUGACCGAUAGUGAACCAGUACCGUGAGGGAAAGGCGAAAAGAACCCCGGCGAGGGGAGUGAAAAAGAACCUGAAACCGUGUACGUACAAGCAGUGGGAGCACAGAGCAAUCUGUGUGACUGCGUACCUUUUGUAUAAUGGGUCAGCGACUUAUAUUCUGUAGCAAGGUUAACCGAAUAGGGGAGCCGAAGGGAAACCGAGUCUUAACUGGGCGUUAAGUUGCAGGGUAUAGACCCGAAACCCGGUGAUCUAGCCAUGGGCAGGUUGAAGGUUGGGUAACACUAACUGGAGGACCGAACCGACUAAUGUUGAAAAAUUAGCGGAUGACUUGUGGCUGGGGGUGAAAGGCCAAUCAAACCGGGAGAUAGCUGGUUCUCCCCGAAAGCUAUUUAGGUAGCGCCUCGUGAAUUCAUCUCCGGGGGUAGAGCACUGUUUCGGCAAGGGGGUCAUCCCGACUUACCAACCCGAUGCAAACUGCGAAUACCGGAGAAUGUUAUCACGGGAGACACACGGCGGGUGCUAACGUCCGUCGUGAAGAGGGAAACAACCCAGACCGCCAGCUAAGGUCCCAAAGUCAUGGUUAAGUGGGAAACGAUGUGGGAAGGCCCAGACAGCCAGGAUGUUGGCUUAGAAGCAGCCAUCAUUUAAAGAAAGCGUAAUAGCUCACUGGUCGAGUCGGCCUGCGCGGAAGAUGUAACGGGGCUAAACCAUGCACCGAAGCUGCGGCAGCGACGCUGAUGCGUUGUUGGGUAGGGGAGCGUUCUGUAAGCCUGCGAAGGUGUGCUGUGAGGCAUGCUGGAGGUAUCAGAAGUGCGAAUGCUGACAUAAGUAACGAUAAAGCGGGUGAAAAGCCCGCUCGCCGGAAGACCAAGGGUUCCUGUCCAACGUUAAUCGGGGCAGGGUGAGUCGACCCCUAAGGCGAGGCCGAAAGGCGUAGUCGAUGGGAAACAGGUUAAUAUUCCUGUACUUGGUGUUACUGCGAAGGGGGGACGGAGAAGGCUAUGUUGGCCGGGCGACGGUUGUCCCGGUUUAAGCGUGUAGGCUGGUUUUCCAGGCAAAUCCGGAAAAUCAAGGCUGAGGCGUGAUGACGAGGCACUACGGUGCUGAAGCAACAAAUGCCCUGCUUCCAGGAAAAGCCUCUAAGCAUCAGGUAACAUCAAAUCGUACCCCAAACCGACACAGGUGGUCAGGUAGAGAAUACCAAGGCGCUUGAGAGAACUCGGGUGAAGGAACUAGGCAAAAUGGUGCCGUAACUUCGGGAGAAGGCACGCUGAUAUGUAGGUGAAGUCCCUCGCGGAUGGAGCUGAAAUCAGUCGAAGAUACCAGCUGGCUGCAACUGUUUAUUAAAAACACAGCACUGUGCAAACACGAAAGUGGACGUAUACGGUGUGACGCCUGCCCGGUGCCGGAAGGUUAAUUGAUGGGGUCAGCGCAAGCGAAGCUCUUGAUCGAAGCCCCGGUAAACGGCGGCCGUAACUAUAACGGUCCUAAGGUAGCGAAAUUCCUUGUCGGGUAAGUUCCGACCUGCACGAAUGGCGUAAUGAUGGCCAGGCUGUCUCCACCCGAGACUCAGUGAAAUUGAACUCGCUGUGAAGAUGCAGUGUACCCGCGGCAAGACGGAAAGACCCCGUGAACCUUUACUAUAGCUUGACACUGAACAUUGAGCCUUGAUGUGUAGGAUAGGUGGGAGGCUUUGAAGUGUGGACGCCAGUCUGCAUGGAGCCGACCUUGAAAUACCACCCUUUAAUGUUUGAUGUUCUAACGUUGACCCGUAAUCCGGGUUGCGGACAGUGUCUGGUGGGUAGUUUGACUGGGGCGGUCUCCUCCUAAAGAGUAACGGAGGAGCACGAAGGUUGGCUAAUCCUGGUCGGACAUCAGGAGGUUAGUGCAAUGGCAUAAGCCAGCUUGACUGCGAGCGUGACGGCGCGAGCAGGUGCGAAAGCAGGUCAUAGUGAUCCGGUGGUUCUGAAUGGAAGGGCCAUCGCUCAACGGAUAAAAGGUACUCCGGGGAUAACAGGCUGAUACCGCCCAAGAGUUCAUAUCGACGGCGGUGUUUGGCACCUCGAUGUCGGCUCAUCACAUCCUGGGGCUGAAGUAGGUCCCAAGGGUAUGGCUGUUCGCCAUUUAAAGUGGUACGCGAGCUGGGUUUAGAACGUCGUGAGACAGUUCGGUCCCUAUCUGCCGUGGGUGUAGGAUACUUGAAAGGAUUUGUCCUUAGUACGAGAGGACCGGGAUGAACAUACCUCUGGUGUACCAGUUGUUUCGCCAGAAGCAACGCUGGGUAGCUAAGUAUGGAAGGGAUAACCGCUGAAUGCAUCUAAGCGGGAAACCCACCUUGAAACUAGGUAUCCCAAUUAAGACCGUGGUAGACCACCACGUUGAUAGGUUGGGUGUGUAAGCACAGCAAUGUGUUUAGCUAACCAAUACUAAUAGUCUGAUUGGCUUGAUU
rnacentral:rRNA from 1 species